AGCGAACGCUGGCGGCAGGCUUAACACAUGCAAGUCGAGCGGGCAUAGCAAUAUGUCAGCGGCAGACGGGUGAGUAACGCGUGGGAACGUACCUUUUGGUUCGGAACAACUGAGGGAAACCCCAGCUAAUACCGGAUAAGCCCUUACGGGGAAAGAUGUAUCGCCGCAAGAUCGGCCCGCGUCUGAUUAGCUAGUUGGUGAGGUAAUGGCUCACCAAGGCGACGAUCAGUAGCUGGCCUGAGAGGAUGAUCAGCCACAUUGGGACUGAGACACGGCCCAAACUCCUACGGGAGGCAGCAGUGGGGAAUAUUGGACAAUGGGCGCAAGCCUGAUCCAGCCAUGCCGCGUGAGUGAUGAAGGCCCUAGGGUUGUAAAGCUCUUUUGUGCGGGAAGAUGAUGACGGUACCGCAAGAAUAAGCCCCGGCUAACUUCGUGCCAGCCGCCGCCGUAA
rnacentral:rRNA from 1 species